UACGGAGGGUGCAAGCGUUGUUCGGAAUCAUUGGGCGUAAAGCGCGCGCAGGCGGCUAUCCAAGUCAGUGGUGAAAGCCCGGAGCUCAACUCCGGAACUGCCAUUGAAACUGUUUAGCUUGAGGACGAGAGAGGUGAGUGGAAUUCCCAGUGUAGAGGUGAAAUUCGUAGAUAUUGGGAAGAACACCGGUCGCGAAGGCGGCUCACUGGACUGGUAUUGACGCUGAGGUGCGAAAGCGUGGGGAGCAAACAGG
rnacentral:rRNA from 1 species